CCCGGCGAGGGGAGUGAAAAAGAACCUGAAACCGUGUACGUACAAGCAGUGGGAGCCUCUUAAUGGGGUGACUGCGUACCUUUUGUAUAAUGGGUCAGCGACUUAUAUUCUGUAGCAAGGUUAACCGAAUAGGGGAGCCGAAGGGAAACCGAGUCUUAACUGGGCGUUAAGUUGCAGGGUAUAGACCCGAAACCCGGUGAUCUAGCCAUGGGCAGGUUGAAGGUUGGGUAACACUAACUGGAGGACCGAACCGACUAAUGUUGAAAAAUUAGCGGAUGACUUGUGGCUGGGGGUGAAAGGCCAAUCAAACCGGGAGAUAGCUGGUUCUCCCCGAAAGCUAUUUAGGUAGCGCCUCGUGAAUUCAUCUCCGGGGGUAGAGCACUGUUUCGGCAAGGGGGUCAUCCCGACUUACCAACCCGAUGCAAACUGCGAAUACCGGAGAAUGUUAUCACGGGAGACACACGGCGGGUGCUAACGUCCGUCGUGAAGAGGGAAACAACCCAGACCGCCAGCUAAGGUCCCAAAGUCAUGGUUAAGUGGGAAACGAUGUGGGAAGGCCCAGACAGCCAGGAUGUUGGCUUAGAAGCAGCCAUCAUUUAAAGAAAGCGUAAUAGCUCACUGGUCGAGUCGGCCUGCGCGGAAGAUGUAACGGGGCUAAACCAUG
rnacentral:rRNA from 1 species